GGAAGUUUUGUUUUAAUUGCUGAUGGGCCGCGAUGGCUAACCGGACAGUAUAGAUGUAAUAACAGCGAUAUGGCUUGUGGAAGAACUGGCUCCAGAAAAAUAGUAUCUUCCCAUGGUCUGGUAUAUAUAAUGUACAUUUUUAAUGUGUUUACAUUUUACUUGCAGAGAUACAAACUGUAUGGCUUGUGGAAGAACCAGACUCCAGAA
rnacentral:lncRNA from 1 species